rnacentral:rRNA from 1 species
GACGAACGCUGGCGGCGUGCCUAAUACAUGCAAGUAGAACGCAGUUGCGAACGGGUGAGUAACGCGUAGGUAACUGCCUCAUAGCGGGGGAUAACUAUUGGAAACGAUAGCUAAUACCGCAUAAUGUGAGUUGGACCUGCGUUGUAUUAGCUAGUUGGUGAGGUCAAGGCUCACCAAGGCGAGGAUACAUAUCCGACCUGAGAGGUUGAUAGGGCGGAUUGUGUCUGAUACAAGGCCCAGACGCCUCCAGAAGGCUGUAGUUGUGAUUCUCCGUAGAUGGAAGGAAGUGUGACCGAGCAACGCCGCGGGGGUGAAGAAGGUUUACGGAUCGUAAAGCCUUGUUGUUAGAGACGCGGUAACUAACCAGAAAGGGAAGGAUACCUACGUGCCAGCAGUCGGGGUAAUAC